GCCUCCCAAAGUGCUGGGAUUACAGGUGUGAGCCACCACGCCCGGCUAUAGUUUAUUUAUACUCGUAGAUUCUAGCAGUCAAGAAUUUGGACAGAGUACAGCAAGGGUGGUUUUAUCUGCAGCCUCAGCUGCAAAGACUGGAAUGGAGGGUGCCGGAAUUAUCUGGAAGAUCUGGGAGCGUCUUCACUCAUACGUCCGGUGUCUGGGCUGGAUGACUCCACGGUUGUGCGCAGCUGGAGGACAGCUGACCCGAGUGCCCACACGUGGCCUCUCUGUGUGACUUGGGCUUCCUCACAGCAUGGUGGUCUCAGGACAGGCAGACUUCCUGCAUGACGUUUGGUUCAGCAAACAAGGCAGAAGGUGAAUCACCUUUUAUGAUCUAGACUCAGAAGUUGACUCUAGCUUGGACAACAAGAGCGAAAC
rnacentral:lncRNA from 1 species